rnacentral:rRNA from 1 species
CACGGGGGGAGCAAGCGUUGUUCGGAUUCACUGGGCGUAAAGGGUGCGUAGGUGGCCUGGACAGUUUGAUGUGAAAGCUCGGAGCUUAACUCCGAAAUGGCAUUGAAUACUACUGGGCUUGAGGGUCGGAGGGGAGACUGGAAUUCUCGGUGUAGCAGUGAAAUGCGUAGAUAUCGAGAGGAACACCAGUGGCGAAGGCGAGUCUCUGGACGACCCCUGACACUGAGGCACGAAAGCUAGGGGAGCAAACAGG